AUGUGGGCUGCAGGGUGGUUUUGGGGCAGUGCUGCCGCCCGCAUUUGUCAGCCCGUGUGUGUGCGGACAGGGGCACGCCAGCAGCCGUGGCCACGUCACCUCGUCCCCUGUCACCUCGUCCCCUGUUGGGGAGGUGCUGGGGGACCCCUCGGGGGCACCCCCUCAUCCCCACCACCCGCAGCAGCGGCUGGGGACUGGAUUUUCGGAUCCCCAGCCCCCUCCUGUCCCUGUCCCCGUGCCAGCCGGCUGCAGCCUGUGGCCACCGAUGCCAGCGGUGACCCGGCAGGGGCUGACCUCCCGCUGCCAGACCUGCUGACUCGGCCGGCCGUGGUAUUGAAGGCGGCACUCUCAUUUUCACAUGAUUUCCAGGGGAAGGAGGCGUUGGGGCCCCGCAUCUCCACAGCCCUGCCCUCCCACGCCGCACGCUCCAGCAGGCACCGCUGCGUGCUGGGCACCGGCAGCAGCUGGGGGGGCUGGUGCAGGAUCGGGCCCUUCCCUUUCCCUUUUCUUUUCCCUUUCCCUUUUCCCUUUCCCUUUCCCUUUUAUUUUUUCUUUCCCUUUCCCUUUCCCUUCUGUGGCUGCGUUUGGCCUCGUGGUGAGGAGGGAGAGGGCCCGCAAUGCUGCGCAGUGCUGGCUCUGCGAGGGGAGCACGGGGAGCUGCAGAUGUGGCUGCACAAAAAAAAACCACAACAAAAACCACAAAACCAACAAAAAAGAAUCAAAAUGCAGAGGGAAAAUGCGAGGAGCUGGAAGGAAGGGGGGCACCGGAGCUGGUGCUGGCCCCCAGGAGCUGGCAGCUGGCCGUGCUCACCUCCUCCCCAGUGCCACAGCCCAUGGCUUGGGGACGUGGGGACGGAGAUGUCCCCUGAGGCCCUGCAGGGGCUCCUUGGGUUCUCCACAGGGCACGGGGCUGCUGCUUCUGGCUCCGUUGUGCCCGGCUUUGAGUGCCAGGCACCUGUGAGGGUGCUGGAGCCGGUGCCACUCUCUGGUGAUGCCACCCCCGGGCUCGACCCAGGACCCCAGGCUGAUUUUUGCCCUUUUCUUUGCUCUGAAGGGCGCGGAGCUGGGCUGUGCCCGGUGACGGGACAGGGCGAGAGCUGA
rnacentral:lncRNA from 1 species